rnacentral:other from 1 species
AAAUCCCUGCUGUGCGCGUGUCAUUGCCGAAAGUUUUUGCCAACACCAAAAACUUGGGAAUUCGACUCCGUAUGUGGACUGUAUGCCUGUUUUCAGGACACACAAAACAUAUGGGAGGAUACCCACCUGUCGGGGACAGGUUUAAACUACGGCUACCACGGCUCGGUGGGGUUUUU